UAUCUCUUCGUCUAGUGGUAGGACACUGGACUUUCUAUCUAGAAACGCGGGUUCGAUUCCCGCAGAGAUCA
rnacentral:tRNA from 1 species